rnacentral:rRNA from 1 species
AGCAGUCGCCGCGGUAAUACGAAGGUGGCAAGCGUUGUCCGGAAUUAUUGGGCGUAAAGGGCUCGCAGGCGGUUUCUUAAGUCUGAUGUGAAAGCCCCCGGCUCAACCUGGGAAUGGCAGUGGAUACUGGCAAGCUAGAGUGUGUCAGAGGAUGGUGGAAUUCCCGGUGUAGCGGUGAAAUGCGUAGAGAUCGGGAGGAACAUCAGUGGCGAAGGCGGCCAUCUGGGACAACACUGACGCUGAGGCACGAAAGCGUGGGGAGCAAACAGGAUUAGAGACCCGCGUAGUCCCUGUCUCUUAUAA